UGGCGUUAUCUGUGGUUGCGAAAUAUUGAUUUUGUUUGUGUUUCUACUGUUUCUAUUUCUUGUUAGAAUUUUGCAGUGAAAAUGUAUAAUUCGCGUAAAAGUUCUUGGAAAGAUAUAGCCUACAACAUUGUAAAGGAAUAUGGAGAAUCAUUCGGUAUAAAUUCGAUCUUUUUGUUAAAAAUCUGCAUGCCUCAAGUAUUUCCUUAUUAUUUUUAUGCAGGGGCCAGUGCAGUGCAGUGAAAUUAUUGAGACUAAUAUUGUAAGAAAUGCUUUCAGGAAUAAAUGAGAGAUGUAGGCAGAAUAUAAAUAUUUGAAUGCAAUUAUCAUGCAGUUGAAGAAAACUCACCUGCUCGUCAUGGCUGAGAACUUGCUCCUGAGAACAAGUUGCUGCAGAUGCCGUUGUCAGCAAGCCAUGGAUGUCAAGACUGUCACACAGACAAAGAAGUCUAAAAUGUCUGAAAUUUAAAAUGGACAAGAUCCAGUUGUCAGCCAGCCAUAGAUGUCUCAACAAGAUAGCAGUUUCCUGAUGUGGCAGCUACAGCAGCCACAACACAGCUGGCAGACAACUAGCCUGAGCCAGUCACACCAUGGAUGAGAAAACAAUAUUAAGUCCGCGCCAAAAACGUAUGGAGGAUGCAAUUGUGGUUUAAGCGGGCGACUGAUGCCCGUUGACACGGCGUGCAGGCCAACGCUGGGAAACCAUGGCAGGAACACUGAAGACAUACUGAAAGAGAACAAUAAAUAUUAUUUAAUAUA